CGUCCCUAGUGCGUCACUUCCGGUCGACGGCGGAAGGCGGAGCGGUCCCUGUAUCCCGGCCGGCGGGAUCUACCUUCUAGUUCUUAGUCUCCGACCUGGAGCCGGGCGCGUCCAGAUGCCGAACCCGCAGUUUCUGGUGCUCUUUGGCAGCCAGACAGGCACGGCUCAGGAUGUGUCGGAGAGACUGGGUCGCGAGGCCCGGCGCCGGCGGCUUGGCUGCCGGGUGCAGGCCCUGGACUCCUACCCGGUGGUGAAUCUGAUUAACGAGCCCCUGGUGAUAUUUGUUUGUGCAACUACAGGCCAAGGAGACCCCCCUGACAACAUGAAGAACUUCUGGAGGUUUAUAUUCCGGAAGAACCUGCCCACCACCGCCCUCUGUCAGAUGGAAUUUGCCGUCCUGGGCCUCGGGGACUCCUCAUACACCAAGUUCAACUUCGUGGCCAAGAAGCUGCACCGACGGCUACUGCAGCUUGGGGGCAGUGCCCUCUUGCCCGUGUGCCUAGGCGAUGACCAGCAUGAGCUGGGGCCCGACGCUGCUGUGGACCCCUGGCUGCGAGACUUGUGGGACAGGGUUCUGAGUCUGCUCCCACCGCCUCCGGACCUUGCCGAGAUCCCUCCUGGAGUCCCCCUGCCCUCCAAGUUCACCCUGCUGUUCCUCCAAGAGGCGCCCAGAAUGGGCUCUGAGGGGCAGCGGGUAGCUCACCCCGGCUCUCAGGAGCCCCCGUCAGAGUCGAAGCCCUUCCUAGCACCCAUGAUCUCCAACCAGAGAGUCACUGGCCCCUCCCACUUCCAGGACGUUCGGCUGAUUGAGUUUGACAUCUCGGGCUCUGGCAUCAGUUUUGCUGCUGGUGACGUGGUGCUGAUUCAGCCCUCCAACUCGGCUGCCCAUGUCCAGCAGUUCUGCCAGGUGCUGGGCCUGGACCCUGACCAGCUCUUCACGCUGCAGCCACGGGAGCCAGAUGUCUCCUGCCCCACGAGGCUGCCCCAGCCCUGCUCCAUGUGGCACCUCGUGUCCCACUACCUGGACAUCGCCAGCGUGCCUCGCCGCUCCUUUUUCGAGCUCCUGGCCUGUCUAUCUCUCCAUGAGCUGGAGCGGGAGAAGCUGCUGGAGUUCAGUUCUGCCCAAGGCCAGGAGGAGCUCUUUGAAUACUGCAACCGGCCCCGCAGGACCAUCCUGGAGGUGCUCUGUGACUUCCCGCACACAGCUGCUGCUAUCCCUCCCGACUACCUGUUGGACCUCAUCCCUGCUAUCCGGCCAAGGGCCUUCUCCAUCGCCUCCUCGAUGCUGGUGAGGGGCCUGGCUCACCCCUCACGGCUGCAGAUCCUCGUGGCUGUCGUGCAGUUCCAGACUCGCCUCAAGGAGCCCCGCCGGGGGCUCUGCUCCUCCUGGCUGGCAUCCCUGGACCCUGGGCAAGGUCCUGUCCGGGUGCCCCUCUGGGUGCGGCCUGGGAGUCUGGCCUUCCCAGAGACACCAGACACCCCCGUGAUCAUGGUGGGGCCCGGCACUGGGGUAGCCCCCUUCCGAGCAGCCAUCCAGGAGCGUGUGGCCCAGGGCCAGACCAGAAACUUCUUGUUUUUUGGCUGCCGCUGGCGGGACCAAGACUUCUACUGGGAGGCGGAGUGGCAGGAGCUGGAGAUGCGGGACUGUCUGACCCUUGUCCCUGCCUUCUCCCGGGAACAGGAGCAGAAAGUGUACGUGCAGCACCGGCUCCGGGAGCUGGGGUCGCUCGUGUGGGAACUGCUGGACCGCCAGGGCGCAUACUUCUACCUGGCAGGCAACGCCAAGUCCAUGCCAGCGGACGUCUCGGAGGCCCUGAUGUCCAUCUUCCAGGAGGACGGCGGACUCUGCAGCCCCGAUGCAGCCGCGUAUCUAGCCAGGCUCCAGCGGACACAGCGCUUCCAGACCGAGACGUGGGCCUGAGGCCCGAGGCUGCCCGUGCCCCCUCUGAUGGCCAUCCUCCUGGGAGCCCAGGAAGGCGUCCACGAGGGAGCUCCUGGCCAGCAGCUGUCGUCCUCUCAGACCAGCCAGCUGGUCCUCUGGGAACAGCCAGCUCUUGAGCACAGCCACACUCCCGUUGACUCUGGAUCCCACCCUUUGAACCCUGACCCCACUGCAGCCUCUGCCCAGCCAGCCCUCCCCUCCCACACCCUGACAGUGAGCUGUGUCCUCGUCCCCCCUACCCCCUUCCCAGUCAAGGUGGUGACCUGGGCCCCUUCACCUCACCAGUGAAGUGACCCAGGAUGGCAUCAGCAGCCCCAUGGGCACCAGGGGUGGCAUAGGGCACCCAUGAGGCUGCACUGCACUCCUCUGCCCUGGGGCCACCUCGGCCGCUGCAACCUGCCAAGCAGCACAUUCCAGUCACUGCCCCCGCACCUCCACAGGGCUCAGGCUGUGCUCAGACGCCACUAAGAUGCCAGCUCCCUGAGAGCAGUGGGGGUGUCCCAGGCUAGAGCAACCUGUUCUCUCCUGGUCCCAGGAAAGCCCUUGCAGUAAAUGGUGGCCUUUGAGUGGCUGCUUCUAGCACAGGCUUCUUUCCUCUAGCUCCUCCCAGUGCCCUGGGUGCUGGGUGGGUGGGUGCCAUGGUGUACCCUUGCUGGGCUGCCUGUACCCCAGUGGCCUCUGCAGCUCUUCUGUCUGUCUCUAAUGUGAUAUGCGCCCUGACUGCCUCGUUCUCAAGGGCUUGGUGGGUCGGCUAAGGUCUGAUCGCCAGGACCAGGUUCCGGGCAGGUGCUGGGAAGGUGUAGCCAAGCCGUCCGUCAGUCCUACCAGGGAGUCGAGGCUGCCGGAAAGAGGAGCGGCGGGAGGGGGCGUGGUUGGUGCAGGCCCGCCCCUGGGAGGGGUUUUAGGCACUGGGAAGAAAAGUCCUGUUGGAGGAGUCCGGUGGCUGUUCACACCCGCCUCGCUGUCUCGGAGUCGCUAUCUGUGGUCGGCGGGUCGCUGGCACAGUACUAAACAUGGCUGAGGCUGGGUUCCAGCCAGAUCUGACUGUGGACGGCACCGUGUGGGCCCAGGAUCCACCCAGAGCAGGCCAGCCUUGCUGGGGCCCCAGUAAAGUCCAAUUCCAGUGAGGAGAGCCAGCCGGGAGGGGACAAGGGCCCACCCAGACCUUGGAACAUAAGCACCAGGCCCAGCUCUGCCUCUGCACACCCUCAUGUCACCACACCUGGGAUGGAGACAUCGGUGGCCCAGCGAGAGAUGGAGCACUGAGCCCGAACAUGAAGCAGCUUUCAAUAAACCAGCUCCUGGGGA